GGGAGGCUCACUCAUACUCACAGCUUGCAACUCCUGUAGCUACUUCCAUGGAUGAGGCUAUUUCUAAGGCUUUUUAAAAGAAAUCCUUCCUCUGUUCCACCUCCUUGAUGUGAGGACUGUUUGUUCAAAUGGAAAAGGAAGUCCAACACGUGUGUGGUUUAUUACGUUUUCUUGAGUUGUGUGCUUUAAUCCAUAUUCUUGGGCUACAUUCCUGACUGCCAUUGUAAAGUUAUCCACCUCCGUCACAUACCUAUGGUUAGCUGAUAGUUGCUUCUUAGGGAUAUUGUCCAAGUUUGAGCAGUGAAGUCAAUAGAAAGCUUUUCACAUCUCUUCAGCUUUGGAAAUCCUUUUCUCUGGAUGUCCCACAAAGGCUAGGCCUGAACAUCUUGUAGAGCCAUGGCAAGAUAUUUGUUUGUUUGUUUGUUUAUAUAUUUGGUGAUAAGCAACGGAUUAUUUUAAUGGCAGGUCGGUUUUUACAUUAAUUGCUUUGCUAUUUAAAUAUUUCUAUGCUCAUUCACUGUUUUUGAAAAUGUCUGGGGAAACUGAAGAAAUGGAAAAUGUUACAAUCCAAAAUAUAAUAAAAUGAAUGUAAUUUUUA